rnacentral:rRNA from 1 species
GAUGAACGCUAGCGGCAGGCCUAACACAUGCAAGUCGAGGGGCAGCACAGAAACAGCAAUGUUUUGGUGGCGACCGGCGGACGGGUGCGUAACGCGUAUGCAACCUACCUUUAACAGGGGGAUAACGGAGAGAAAUUUCCACUAAUACCCCAUAACAUCGAUCAAGGCAUCUUGAUUGGUUGAAAACUCCGGUGGUUAAAGAUGGGCAUACGUUGUAUUAGGUAGUUGGUGAGGUAAGGGCUCACCAAGCCUACGAUACAUAGGGGGACUGAGAGGUUAGCCCCCCACACGGGUACUGAGACACGGACCAGACUCCUACGGGAGGCAGCAGUGAGGAAUAUUGGUCAAUGGGGGCAACCCUGAACCAGCCAUGCCGCGUGCAGGAAGACGGCUCUAUGAGUUGUAAACUGCUUUUAAACAGGGAUAAAGCACAGUAUGUAUACUGUGUUGAAGGUACUGUAAGAAUAAGGAUCGGCUAACUCCGUGCCAGCCGCCGCCGUAA